UUAGUUGAAACCAAAAAGAGGUAUAUCACUGUUAAUGAUAUCAUUGAAGUUUCUUCCAACUAAAAAG
rnacentral:tRNA from 1 species